ACGAAGCGGCUGCAGGGAUUCCCUUCGGGGAGGAACAGUAGCUGUCUGAGUGGCGGACGGGUGAGUAACGCGUGGGCAACCUGCCCCAUACCGGGGGAUAACAGCCGGAAACGGCUGCUAAUACCGCAUACGCCCAGGAGGCUGCAUAGCUUGCUGGGGAAAACUCCGGUGGUAUGGGAUGGGCCCGCGUCUGAUUAGCUCGUUGGCGGGGUAACGGCCCACCAAGGCGACGAUCAGUAGCCGGCCUGAGAGGGCGGCCGGCCACAUUGGGACUGAGACACGGCCCAGACUCCUGCGGGAGGCAGCAGUGGGGAAUAUUGCACAAUGGGGGAAACCCUGAUGCAGCGACGCCGCGUGAGCGAUGAAGUAUCUCGGUAUGUAAAGCUCUAUCAGCAGGGAAGAAAGUGACAGUACCUGACUAAGAAGCCCCGGCUAACUACGUGCCAGCAGCCGCGGUAAUACGUAGGGGGCAAGCGUUAUCCGGAUUCACUGGGCGUAAAGGGAGCGCAGGCGGCACGGCAAGUCUGGUGUGAAAACCCGGGGCUCAACCCCGGGACUGCAUUGGAAACUGCCGGGCUGGAGUGUCGGAGGGGUAAGCGGAAUUCCUAGUGUAGCGGUGAAAUGCGUAGAUAUUAGGAGGAACACCAGUGGCGAAGGCGGCUUACUGGA
rnacentral:rRNA from 1 species